rnacentral:rRNA from 1 species
UACGGAGGGUGCAAGCGUUGUCCGGAAUCACUGGGCGUAAAGGGCGCGUAGGCGGCUCAUGAAGGCUGUGGUGAAAGUCCGGGGCUCAACCUCGGAUCGGCCGUGGCGACUCGUGGGCUGGAGCACUGUAGAGGCGGGUGGAAUUCCGGGUGUAGCGGUGGAAUGCGUAGAGAUCGGGAAGAACACCCGUGGCGAAGGCGGCUCUCUGGGACGGUACUGACGCUGAGACGCGAAAGCGUGGGGAGCGAACAGG